rnacentral:rRNA from 1 species
GACGAACGCUGGCGGCGUGCUUAACACAUGCAAGUCGAACGGUGAAGCGCCUUCCUCUUUGGUGGGUGUGGAUGAGUGGCGAACGGGUGAGUAACACGUGAGUAACCUGCCCCCUUCUUCUGGAUAACCGCAUGACAGUGUGGCUAAUACGGGAUAUUCUGGGUCUGUCGCAUGAUGGGUCUGGGAAAGAUAUUGUUUCGGUGGGGGAUGGUCUCGCGGCCUAUCAGCUUGUUGGUGGGGUGAUGGCCUACCAAGGCGGUGACGGGUAGCCAGCCUGGGAGGGUGGACGGUCACAGUGGUACUGCGAGACGGCGAAGACUACUGCGGGAGGCAGUGGGGAAGAUUGUAGCACAAGGGGCAGAAGGAUGAUGCAGCGACGCGUGUGGAGAGAAGGACGCCUGAGGGUUGAGAACCUCUUUCGGGAGUGAAGGGCGCUUGCUUCAUAUGUGGGUGGGUUGACGGUAGCUGGAUAAGAAGCGCCGGCUAACUACGUG